ensembl:lncRNA
CCUUAGAGAACAGUAUGGUGAAUGAAUGAGUGUAGUGAGAACUGCGGCUGAAAUGAGCACUGAAUUCUAGCGGAAAGUCAGGGAAAGGCGUUUGGGAAACGGAGACAACCAUGACCUGAGAAUCUAUGUCUUUCACACAUUUUGCCUGGUACCUUGCCUUUGACUGUCACUGGUGUGGACCAAGCUUUUCACCUCUCAGCUCUGGGACUCAGGGCAAGUCCUGCCACCCGUUGUGACCUGCUGGCUUCAUCCUGUUUGAGUCUUUGUUCCAGUUGCCAGACCAUCUGGGGUUCUUGCUUAGACUCUUUUUCCAAGGUCACCAGAAGUGCAGUCUUCAUGAGGGAGUUCUCAGAUCGUCCUCUUCCUUCCACUGUGCUUGCUAAGCAUUUGCUGUUCAUCACGUGUGACCAUGGGGCUGUCUGUCUCAUUCUGCUCGUGAGGCCCUGUGGCUUCUGUGUGUUUCUCAUUUAAGCAUUGUAACUUUUCUGGCCGUGGCCUCUCUGUUCUUCCCACAGAUGGUUAUGGAAAGAGUUUUCAA